AACAGGAAGUUAACGGACCAAAAAAAAAAACCAGACAGACAGACAUGAUACAAAUAUUUAUGUCUAAAUAUUAAAAAUAAAUUCAAAGAUAAACAAAGGUGAUGAACUCGCUGGUGGGAUACGGAGUGUCCUCUGAGUCAGAGGAGGAAGAGGAAACUCAGAGCGGAGCGGCAGCGAAUGAGGAGAAUGAGUUCAAACAGAAGAAAUCACACAAUUUCCUGGUGGAAUCUGGAUCGGCGUCCAGUGAGUCUAGUUCAGAGUCAGAGCGAGAUGAGGAGCAGGAACCAUCUCCAGCGAGUGUCCAGUUACGCUCAGAGCUCCCGGUUCCUCCCACAGUCGCUUCUCCUUCUAAUAAACUGCCUUCCCCUGCUCUGGGAGGGUUCGGUGUUCUAGCUGGGAGCAGUGUCUUUGCAAAUCGCUUUAAGGAACAAACAGAUCAGAAACUCAGCGCACUCCAGAAACACGUCCCACUCACAUCCCAAGCCAAGCCUACACACAUUGGUGGGAAGAGGGUGUGUGUGGCCUACAGGAAGAACGGACGCUGCCGUUUUGGGAUCCGUUGCAAGUUUGCUCACGACAGCGACCUGCAGCGCAAUGAAGCAGAACCCCCUGUUUCGGACUCGGAUGUGAAUAAUGCUGCUGCACACACAGUAGACUGCAAUGAGCUGGCUGUAGGGAGGGACAGAGAAGAUGAGGAGGGGAAUCAGAGCAGGAGGAAAAAGCACCGAGUGGGUGUGAGCGAUAGUCUCAUCCCUCCCAAAAGGGCACUAAAGCAGUAUGCCAUCCAGAGGGACAACGCCUCACACACACUUACAUGAAAACAGGGUGUGAGAAUUAAGAUCUCUAAGUGUGUGUGGUCAAAUUAGUUGCCUCAGAUGUGCUCUGAUGUGUGAGGUCCUGUGUGAAGGAUUGCAGUUUCAUCCAGGGUGUUUGUAGCAGAAAAUUCUAGAUACAAGUUGAUUUCUUCACUGGGACUGACACAGAGAAGCCACGCCUUCUUCACUAAGACUGAUGUGGACGGUUCCUUAACUGAGAAUGGCAUAGAGGGCACACCUCUUAUACUGGGACAGACACAUAUAUUCCAUGCCUCAUUCACCGAGGCCACACCUCUUUGAUGAGACUGACACACUUAGGCCAUGCCUCCUUUACUGAGAUUGACACCAAUCACAGACUCCUUUGCAGACGCUACGCCUCCUUUACUGCGACUGACACACUUAGGCUACGCUGCCUUUAAGACUAACAGUGAGGCUAUGCCUCCUUCAGCAAGACUGACACACAAAGGCCACACCUCGUUCACUGAGACUGACGCACAGACACCACGCCUCCUUCACUGAGACUUCAUUAGGACUAAUGUGGCUGGCCAUGCUCCCUUUAUUGAGAGUGACAUAGGCUGCGUCUCUGUCACUGAGGCCACACAUCCCCACUGAGACUGACAGGCCACAACUCCUUUACUAAGACUGACAUGCAGAUACCACGCCCCUUUAAAUAGACAGACACAGAGGCCACACCCCCUUCACUAAGACUGAUGGAAAGAUUCAGAUUUUUCAGGAGAAAUUUUUUUAGUGAGUCAGAUCAUUUGACUAGUCUCAGCAAUAAAGACUCGACUCUUUCAGCUCCUAAAUGACUCUUAGCCAUUUUUUUAACCAGUUGAAGUUUCUGAUGUGUAACUGUGACUGAAACUGGUUCAUGAAAUCUAUCUUGCGAAGCUUAUUCAAUAAUUUACACUGCAAGCUUUACACCUUCACUCUCCCUACAAAAAGAACAGUCACAGCCCACAUAUGCAAGCCUUUAUCAUUCCCUUAUUGAUUUCUUCUCUGUUGUAUCAUGUGUGUAAAAUGUUUUUGUUUUUUUUUUAUGUUAUGUGCUAUAAAAGUUCAGCAGCUCGGAUGAGGCCAUGACCUGAAGAAAACUUCAGCUAGUGUCCCAGAUCAACUGUCGCAUCACCUCAACACAGGACGUAGCUUGUGAGAUAGGCCAUGGCAGUCAUGUGAUUAAACACUGGUGCAUGCUCAACUAAAGAAACAGAUCAUUAAAUAUCACCACACUGCUUGUGUUCUGGUGAAUAUUACACCUGUCAAUUAGUUUAAGAUGUAUUUAAUUUGUCUCUCAGUCUCUGAGGUUAAAGCGGAGACGGAGUGCUUUCUGGGACUGGAAAAGCAAUUACACCAGGAGAAAUAAUAAAUGUUAAGGACGAUAUCCAAGGAAUGCAAAAGGUUUAUUAAAUUCUGUCCAGCGGUUGAUUUAAGACACGCUCAAAGUUUGAUGCAUGUGCAGUACACUGUCAAAACGUGUGGCAAAUAACUGCUCAUAACUUCACGUCUACUCAACAUUUUGAUUUUAUUUAGCAUGCAGGUUUAACUUUGGGCCAGAAGUACUGGCAAAGUUUCAUUAAAUUCUGUCCAGACAGUUUUGCAUGAUGCUGUGACAAAUUUGGCUAAACAGACAUACGGACAUACAGACAGA